rnacentral:rRNA from 1 species
AGGUUUCCGUACGUGAACCUGCGGAAGGAUCAUUC